rnacentral:rRNA from 1 species
CCUACGGGCGGCAGCAGUGAGGAAUAUUGGUCAAUGGACGCAAGUCUGAACCAGCCAUGCCGCGUGCAGGAUGACGGCUCUAUGAGUUGUAAACUGCUUUUGUACGAGGGUAAAACCCGCUACGUGUAUCGGGUUGAAAGUAUCGUACGAAUAAGGAUCGGCUAAAUCCGUGCCAGCAGCCGCGGUAAUACGGAGGAUCCGAGCGUUAUCCGGAUUUAUUGGGGUUAAAGGGUGCGUAGGCGGUUUGAUAAGUUAGAGGUGAAAUGUCGGGGCUCAACCCCGAAACUGCAGCUAAUACUGUAGGACUUGAGAAUAGUUGAGGUAGGCGGAAUGUAUGGUGUAGCGGUGAAAUGCUUAGAGAUCAUACAGAACACCGAUUGCGAAGGCAGCUUACC